UCAUUUAUACUACUCCUCGUGCCUUCUACUCUUCUAUUGUAAGCGAUGUGGGACUUUGAAAAGAGUAAAUAUGUACAAAAAUAAAACAAUCUCUGGAUUUGAAUAGCUUAAGCGACAAUAGUCGUAAACCCUGAAGCCAAACAACUCUUUGGUUCAGCCGAGUCUGAGAAGAAGCAGCCAAGUUUCUCAGAUUUUCCAUUCUCGUGCUCUGUAUCCUUAAUCUCAUUCGAAAGUUUGAAUCUUUUUUGCGUAUUUGAAGCAGAUUUUACCUGGAAUCGGCGACGGAAGAAGAGGAGGAUUGUUCAGUCGUUGUCUUGAUCGGUUUGGUUUUGGUUAGUACAGCCAGCUUGAUUCGAUCGUUAUGUUCUUAUUUAACUGGGAAAGUUGAGAGCUAAAGCCUUGGUUGUAAGACUGAUUAGUCUGCGUGAUCUUGUUUGCUCCGUGUGAAAGGCACUUACUUUAUCCACAGAGAUUGUUUUGGAUGUUACGCAAAAACCCAACCAAUUAGCAAUCAGCGUCUAAUCUUAAUAAUGUCUACUGAAGAAGUAUUCAGAGAAAGCAGAGCACAAGAAUGAUGCCGGAGAACAUUUGUGACAACUAGACAAAAAGUAUUGAUGCAAACACGAGGAUGCAGGUGAGCCAGCAGGUGAGAGAGCAACUUCUCCUGGAGAUCACCAUGAAUGCGAUAUGUGAUCCUGAGUGUAAAGGAUUAUGCUUGAAGUGCGGUGCUAAUCUGAAUAAGAACAAGUGUGAUUGUGGCAGUGAAGAGAAGGAUAAAGGAUAUGGACCUCUUCGAAACCUGAGAAAGCAAAUGCAACAGAAAAGAGAGACUGAGAAACUUAACUGUGUCAAAAUUGACUUCUAAAUAGUGUUAUGUCGUGAGCUUAUAACAAUACUCUGCGUGCCUUUCACUUCAAAUCAAUUUUAUAUUGCAUCGUAAUUCAUCAUUGUUGCGCUCUCUUUAUGCUCUGUGUUGUUACUUGUGGUUGGUUAGUACAUGCUUAUUAGAUGAUGGUUUAUGUUUAUUUUUCUUAACAAUGCCCUCUUUUUGUUAUGGAGUGAUGAACAUGUCCUUGA